rnacentral:rRNA from 1 species
ACUCCUACGGGAGGCAGCAGUGNNNANUAUUGGACAAUGGGCGCAAGCCUGAUCCAGCCAUGCCGCGUGAGUGAUGAAGGCCUUAGGGUUGUAAAGCUCUUUUGCCGGGGACGAUAAUGACGGUACCCGGAGAAUAAGUCCCGGCUAACUUCGUGCCAGCAGCCGCGG